UAAGGAAUAUUGCGCAAUGGGCGACAGCCUGACGCAGCGACGCCGCGUGGGGGAUGAAGGUCUUCGGAUUGUAAACCCCUUUCGGGAGGGAAGAGGGAAUGGGGUAACCCAUUCGGACGGUACCUCCAGAAGCAGCCACGGCUAACUUCGUGCCAGCAGCCGCGGUAAUACGAAGGUGGCAAGCGUUGUUCGGAUUCACUGGGCGUACAGGGAGCGUAGGCGGUUGGGUAAGCCCUCCGUGAAAUCUCCGGGCCUAACCCGGAAAGUGCAGAGGGGACUGCUCGGCUUGAGGACGGGAGAGGAGCGCGGAAUUCCCGGUGUAGCGGUGAAAUGCGUAGAGAUCGGGAGGAAGGCCGGUGGCGAAGGCGGCGCUCUGGAACGUUUCUGACGCUGAGGCUCGAAAGCGUGGGGAGCAAACAGGAUUAGAUACCCUGGUAGUCCACGCCUUAAACUAUGGAUACUAAGUGUCGGCGGGUUACCGCCGGUGCCGCAGCUAACGCAUUAAGUAUCCCGCCUGGGAAGUACGGCCGC
rnacentral:rRNA from 1 species